UCGCAGACGAACGCUGGCGGCGUGCUUAACACAUGCAAGUCGAACGAUGAAGCCUUCGGGUGGAUUAGUGGCGAACGGGUGAGUAACACGUGGGAAAUCUGCCCUGCACUCUGGGACAAGCCUUGGAAACGAGGUCUAAUACCGGAUAUGACCUGUCCUCGCAUGGGGAUGGGUGGAAAGCUCCGGCGGUGCAGGAUGAUCCCGCGGCCUAUCAGCUUGUUGGUGGGGUAAUGGCCUACCAAGGCGACGACGGGUAGCCGGCCUGAGAGGGCGACCGGCCACACUGGGACUGAGACACGGCCCAGACUCCUACGGGAGGCAGCAGUGGGGAAUAUUGCACAAUGGGCGAAAGCCUGAUGCAGCGACGCCGCGUGAGGGAUGAAGGCCUUCGGGUCGUAAACCUCUUUCAGCAGGGAAGAAGCGCAAGUGACGGUACCUGCAGAAGAAGCACCGGCUAACUACGUGCCAGCAGCCGCGGUAAUACGUAGGGUGCGAGCGUUGUCCGGAAUUAUUGGGCGUAAAGAGCUCGUAGGCGGCUUGUCACGUCGGAUGUGAAAGCCCGGGGCUUAACCCCGGGUCUGCAUUCGAUACGGGCAGGCUAGAGUGUGGUAGGGGAGAUCGGAAUUCCUGGUGUAGCGGUGAAAUGCGCAGAUAUCAGGAGGAACACCGGUGGCGAAGGCGGAUCUCUGGGCCAUUACUGACGCUGAGGAGCGAAAGCGUGGGGAGCGAACAGGAUUAGAUACCCUGGUAGUCCACGCCGUAAACGGUGGGAACUAGGUGUUGGCGACAUUCCACGUCGUCGGUGCCGCAGCUAACGCAUUAAGUCCCCGCCU
rnacentral:rRNA from 1 species